UCCUCGUGAGCUUCUGAUGGGAGCGGAUGCUAGAUACUGCUUCGGGAGAUUCAACGCUCCAAAACGAGAGAGAAAUUAAGGGUCAGAGAAGCUGAAUGCAAUUGAGAGUGAUGUCUUGAAGUGGGUUUCAUCUGCAAAUGUCCUGGUUCAUUUGAUGUACAUGUUGAGUUCUUUGGCCAGGUUUUUUUUCGCUGUUCUUGUUCCAUGUGAGUUCCCUUGCUGGAUUUGCCCCGGAUGAAUCGAUGGUUGUGUGAAUUAUUCCCGAACUGUCUCAACUCUUCCUAUAUCUACGAUGGUGGAGUUGGACUGACGAGCCACCUGUAAACGAAUCCUUUGAAACUCUUGCGUGAAUCCUUCCUGUUUGGACAGACACAGAAACUGAUCAUCUUUAACUGGUAGGAUUGAAAUUGCACGGUUCAUUUUGUCCUGAUCUGGAGUAAAGCCUAAAGACUGAGAUUAACAUCAAAUAAUUUACGUUUGGGACUGAGUUUAUAAACUGAUUUUUGAUUCCUCCUUGAGGACAUUGAGGACUUUGGGAAAUUUGGAUAUUUUCAUUCAGAGAAAAUGUCAUUUUGUUUUAUUUGUUGAUUAUCCUUUUUUUUUCUCUGUCUGUGUUGAUUAUAUGGUUUAAAGGUUGACUCAAAUUAGAUAUCAUUCAAAAACAUUUAAGAACGGGUCACUUUAGAAAAAAAAAAGAACAUUUAAUUAGAUGUUUCAGUACCAAAUGCUUUAAGCAAUUUCCACAUUAGCAUGAAUUAUCAACUAAAAGAUAAAAGGAAGUAGAAAUAUCAACUUACCAACAAGGUGAAACCCUAUAAGGAAGCAAAGGGGUGUAAGUAACAACACUGAGUACAAACAUUUCUGAGUCUUUGAAUUAAAUUUUUGUGAAUGUAAAUUUAUUUUCUACUAUUCACUGUUACAAUACAAAUCAAAUCUUGUUCUU